AAGUCGUAACAAGGUUUCCGUAGGUGAACCUGCGGAAGGAUCAUUAACGCGUGAUUUCAACUUCACGUAUUAACCACAAGCACUGAAGGUGGCUGCUAGCCCGACCUGCUGCGUAGAGUACAGAUUGGCGAAUCGCCUGGCUGAGAUUACUCGCCUUGUCAGUCUGUUAGAGUCCAACUUAACUGUUGAGGCUCAGCUUGAUCAGUGGGCCGUAUCGGACCCCCCUAUCGUCGAGCCUGGGUGUUGGUGGUCUUUGGGGGCCAUUUUAUUUUACCAUUUUUUUCUUACUGAUUUACUUGUCCAGUCUUUUGGAUUCCUGGCUUCGGCUGGUUGAGUCUGACUGAUUGACACAACAUUAAUUACGAAACAACUCUUAGCAACGGAUAUCUUGGUUCUC
rnacentral:misc_RNA from 1 species